CUUGAUACUCUAUCACUACUCAAUAAUCCAAUUAUGCCCAAGAGAUGUACCACUCUCAUAAAAUUACGUCAUAGUAAAUAGAAUAGUUUGUCUCUCUCAUUCUCCUUUAUAUGUAACUAAAUCUCUACUACUUUAACUUCACAAUACGCCAAAAAAAAAAAAUUUCACUACACGGGCAAGAGUGUCUUCCUCUUGGACUCUAUGCCCUCUCCCUACAUAUGUCGCUAUAAACAAGGUCCCUUCCUCUUGGACUCUAUGCUUUUCCUCCACGAAUGAGCUAAAGCCAAAUAACAUAUUCCACAAUACUCCUAUUUAUAGUGUUAGUGCCGUCAAUUCUAAUCUCAGUAGAAAUCCAUUCAAAUAGGAAUAAAUUAAAAUAUGAGUUAUUCUCUAUUUAGAAAAUAAUCAUCAAUCCAAUUAAGAAAUAUUUCUCCCACUCAUUCUAGGAAAAAAAGUUCCUUCCAAAUUCCAUUAAGAUUUUGAG
rnacentral:misc_RNA from 1 species